rnacentral:tRNA from 1 species
GCCUGGGUGGCUCAGUCAGUUAAGCGUCUGACUUCGGCUCAGGUCAUGGUUUCACGGUUCGUGGGUUCGAAUCCUGCACCGGGCU